GACGAACGCUGGCGGCGUGCCUAAUACAUGCAAGUCGAACGGACAGGCGCUGCUUUUGCGGGUCUCUCGAUUGCCGCGCGGGUGUGUGUCACACGUGUAUCCCGUCCCUAACUUUCGGAUAUCUUCAGGGAAAUCGGGCUAAUACCCGGUAGAAUCUCUUGCACCGUGGGGGUGAUUAGUAAGAUUCGGCUGUUCGGGAUGGUCUCGAUGCUUAUCAGCUUGAUGGUGGGGUAGUUGCUUACCAGGGCUUUGACGGGUAGCCGGCCUGAGAGGGUGGCCGGCCACAUUGGGACUGAGAGACGGCCCAGACUCCUACGGGACGCAGAAGUGGGGAGUAUGACACAAUGGGCGGAAGCCUGAGGCAGCAACGCCGCGUGCGGGAUGACGGCCUUCGGGUUGUAAACCGCUUUCGCAUGUGACGAAGCGUGAGUGACGGUAAUGAGUAAAGAAGCACCGGCUAACUACGUG
rnacentral:rRNA from 1 species